UACGUAGGGUGCAAGCGUUGUCCGGAAUUAUUGGGCGUAAAGAGCUCGUAGGCGGUUUGUUGCGUCGGCUGUGAAAUCCCGAGGCUCAACCUCGGGUCUGCAGUCGAUACGAGCAAACUAGAGUGUUGCAGGGGAGACUGGAAUUCCUGGUGUAGCGGUGAAAUGCGCAGAUAUCAGGAGGAACACCGGUGGCGAAGGCAGCUCGCUGGGACGGUACUGACGCUGGAGACGCGAAAGCGUGGGGAGCGAACAGG
rnacentral:rRNA from 1 species